UCGUCCUCCUGCCAACCAUCUAAUUCCUAGUUGGGAAGGUUACAU
rnacentral:snoRNA from 1 species